rnacentral:rRNA from 1 species
UACGUAGGGGCCUAGCGUUGUCCGGAAUUAUUGGGCGUAAAGAGCUCGUAGGCGGUUGGGUAAGUCGGGUGUGAAAACUCAGGGCUCAACUCUGAGACGCCACUCGAUACUGCUCUGACUCGAGUCCGGUAGGGGAGCGUGGAAUUCCCGGUGUAGCGGUGAAAUGCGCAGAUAUCGGGAGGAACACCAGUGGCGAAGGCGGCGCUCUGGGCCGGAACUGACGCUGAGGAGCGAAAGCGUGGGUAGCAAACAGG